rnacentral:rRNA from 1 species
UCAGGAUGAACGCUAGCGACAGGCCUAACACAUGCAAGUCGAGGGGCAUCGGGACGUAGCAAUACGUUGCCGGCGACCGGCGGAUGGGUGAGUAACGCGUAUGCAACCUACCCGUAGCAGGGGGAUAGCCCGUUGAAAGACGGAUUAAUACCCCGUAACACAGGGGCUCCGCAUGGAGAUUAUUGUUAAAGGGUCAUUUCUUUUAGAGGUGGUCGGGCUGCGGAUGGGCAUGCGUUCCAUUAGGUAGUUGGUGUAGGUAACGGCUCACCAAGCCGACGAUGGAUAGGGGAACUGAGAGGUUGGUCCCCCACACUGGUACUGAGACACGGACCAGACUCCUACGGGAGGCAGCAGUGAGGAAUCUUGGUCAAUGGACGCAAGUCUGAACCAGCCAUGUCGCGUGAAGGAGGACGGCCCUAAGGGUUGUAAACUUCUUUUGCAGCGGAAUAAAGUUUGCCACGUGUUGGCGAUUUGCAAGUACGCUGCGAAUAAGGAUCGGCUAACUCCGUGCCAGCAGCCGCGGUAAUACGGAGGAUCCGGGCGUUAUCCGGAUUUAUUGGGUUUAAAGGGUG